UACGUAGGUGGCGAGCGUUAUCCGGAUUUAUUGGGCGUAAAGCGUCCGCAGCCGGUUUAUUAAGUAUAGAAUUAAAUUUCUGGGCUUAACCCAGUCUCGUUCUAUAAACUGAUAGGCUAGAGUGUGGUAGAGGCAAGUGGAAUUUCUAGUGUAGCGGUUAAAUGCGUAGAUAUUAGAAGGAACACCAGUGGCGAAGGCGGCUUGCUGGGCCACCACUGACGGUCAGGGACGAAAGCGUGG
rnacentral:rRNA from 1 species